rnacentral:rRNA from 1 species
UUCGCAAUGCCCGAAAGGGUGACGAUGCGACGCCGCGUGAGCGAAGAAGGCCCUAGGGUUGUAAAGCUCUGUCGAGGGUUAUGAAAUAUAGAUGGGUUAAUACCCCAUUUAUUUGACAAAAGCCCAAAAGGAAGCCACGGCUAACUCUGUGCCAGCAGCCGCGGUAAUACAGAGGUGGCGAGCGUUGUUCGGUAUUAUUGGGCGUAAAGAGCACGUAGGUGGUUUUGUAAGUCAGAUGCGAAAGCCUUCUGUUCAAAGGAAGAACGGCAUCUGAAGCUGCAGAUCUUGAGUGUAGGAGGGGAGAGUGGAACUUCUGGUGGAGCGGUGAAAUGCGUAGAUAUCAGAAGGAACGUCGGCGGCGAAAGCGACUCUCUGGCCUAUUACUGACACUGAGGUGCGAAAGUUAGGGGAGCAAACGGGAUUAGAUACCCCGGUAGUCCUAACCGUAAACGAUGGGCACUAAGUAGAGGGGUUUU